rnacentral:rRNA from 1 species
UACGAAGGGGGCUAGCGUUGCUCGGAAUUACUGGGCGUAAAGGGCGCGUAGGCGGCACUGUUAGUCAGGCGUGAAAGUCCUGGGCUCAACCUGGGAACUGCGCUUGAUACGGCAGAGCUAGAGGAUGGAAGAGGCUCGCGGAAUUCCCAGUGUAGAGGUGAAAUUCGUAGAUAUUGGGAAGAACACCGGUGGCGAAGGCGGCUAUCUGGACCGACAUUGACGCUGAGGCGCGAAAGCGUGGGGAGCAAACAGG